GACGAACGCUGGCGGCGUGCUUAACACAUGCAAGUCGAGCGGUAAGGCCCUUCGGGGUACACGAGCGGCGAACGGGUGAGUAACACGUGGGUGAUCUGCCUCGCACUCUGGGAUAAGCCUGGGAAACUGGGUCUAAUACCGGAUAUGACCACGAAUCGCAUGGUUUGUGGUGGAAAGGUUUACUGGUGCGAGAUGGGCCCGCGGCCUAUCAGCUUGUUGGUGGGGUAACGGCCUACCAAGGCGACGACGGGUAGCCGGCCUGAGAGGGCGACCGGCCACACUGGGACUGAGACACGGCCCAGACUCCUACGGGAGGCAGCAGUGGGGAAUAUUGCACAAUGGGCGAAAGCCUGAUGCAGCGACGCCGCGUGAGGGAUGACGGCCUUCGGGUUGUAAACCUCUUUCGACAGGGACGAAGCGCAAGUGACGGUACCUGUAGAAGAAGCACCGGCCAACUACGUG
rnacentral:rRNA from 1 species